UCAAUUUAAUUUGAAUUAUAUAAUUUAUUUAUUUGUAAUGUUUUAAAUUUAAUUUUUAAUAAAAAUAUUUUUUUUUUUUUAUAAAUUUAGAUAAAAUUAUUUUAAUUAUAGGGAAUUAAGUAUAGUGAUAGAAUAUUGAAAUAAUUUAAAAAAAAAAAUUUUUAAAAGAAAAUUUUAAUUAUUGUACCUUGUGUAUCAGGGUUUAUUAAAUAAUUUUUAUAAAUUUUAAUUUUCUCGAAUUUAAAAGAGUUAAGAAAUUAUAGAUUUUAUUGUGAAAUAAAUAUUUAAAAUAAUUUUUUAGUAAUGAUACGUUAUUCGUUUUUAAAUUUAUCUAGUUUUUUAAGAAAUAAAUUUAAUUUAGUUAUUUAUUUUUAUGAUAAUUAUUAAAAAUUAUAAUAAAGUAAAUAAUAAAUAUUUUAAGGGAUGAGCUUUAAAAUAGAUUUUGAAAAAUAAAAUUUAGUUAUUUAAAAUUUAUAGAAGUGGAAGUAUUAAUUUUAAUUUAGUGUGUUAUAACAAAUUUUAUAUAAUUUAUAAUUUUUAUAAUAUUUUCAAUUUUUUAUUAAAAUUAUUAAUUUAAUUUAAAAUUUAAUGAAAUAAUGAUAAAAUUAGUAUAAUUAAUUAGUGUUUAUUUGGUUUAUUAUAUUAAGGUUAAAUUAAGGAAUUCGGCAAAUGAUUUUUUCGCCUGUUUAAUAAAAACAUGUCUUUUUGAUAAUAAUUUAAAGUCUGACCUGCCCUAUGAUUAAAAUUAAAUGGCCGCGAUAAUUUGAUCGUGCAAAGGUAGCAUAAUAAUUAGUUUCUUAAUUAGGAACUGGUAUGAAAGGUUGAACGAAAAAAGAACUGUCUCGAUUUAAUUUGAAUUAGAAUUUUAUUUUUAAGUUAAAAAGCUUAAAUAUUUUUAAAAGACGAGAAGACCCUAUAGAGUUUUAUAUUUAUAUAAAUAUUUUAGAUUUUAGGAUUUUAUUUAUGAAAUUUUUAUAUCAUUAUUUGGUUGGGGUGAUUGAAAAAUUGAAUUAACUUUUUUUUGUAAUAUUUACAUAAAUAAGUGAAUUUAUGAUCCAUAAUUUAUGAUUAGAAGAUUAAAUUACCUUAGGGAUAACAGCGUAAUUUUUUUUAAGAGUUCUUAUCGAAAGAAAAGUUUGCGACCUCGAUGUUGGAUUAAAAUAAAUUUUUGGUGUAGAGGCUAAAUAUAUUAGGUCUGUUCGACCUUUAAAAUUUUACAUGAUCUGAGUUUAAACCGGUGUAAGCCAGGUUGGUUUCUAUCUUUAAAAAUAUAAAAUAUUUUAGUACGAAAGGAUCAAAUAUUUAUUAUAAUAGUUUAAUUAUGAAUAUUAUUAAUUUGGGAUUACUUUGGCAGAAUAGUGCUU
rnacentral:rRNA from 1 species